GGUCUCCUGGCAACGCUGCGGCCCCGCCCACGUCAUGGCGCCUGAGGAGAACGCGGGUACCAAACUCUUGCUGCAGAGUUUCGAGCGCCGCUUCCUAGCGGCGCGCACACUGCGCUCCUUCCCCUGGCAGGUGGGCGGCGGGGCGAGCGGAGAGGCCUGCGGGGCUUGCGGAAGUCCAGGGGCAGACGGGAUGGGUCUCCCUGCUGAAACCCCCGGCGCUCCUGCCACGUGAGUUCCUGGGCUCUCCCCGGUCAGGGCCACGAGACCCGGUCCCCGUCCCUGGGGCCUGGCCAGAGUCGCUCUCACCCCUCCUGCCCCGCGAGCUGGCGGCGGAAGCUGGGGGCGUCUCCACAGUCUUGGGGGGCAGACGCGCGCUCGGUGUGGGGUACAGUUCACGAUCAUUUUCAUGACUUUUUAAAGGCAGUAAUCGUUCUGGUCACUGGGACACAGCUGCCCUCGCCCAUUCUAAAAAGUCAGCACCCUCAGGCCCGCGGGUAACCACCUCCUCCUGAGCACGGUGACCAGGUCAAAGGCUGUCCCUCGGGCCUCAGUGUUCUCAUCUGUAUGUCGAGCACUGCACAGAAUCAGCUCAUGCGCUGAGGCUUUCACUCCUGUGAUGGAAGAGACAGAGAAGGGGGUGGCCUCUCCUCUCCCUGGGGACCUGCCAUUCUCAGCACAGGCGCAUGGCAGGCAGCAGCCUCCCUUCUGCCAGCAGAGGGGCUUAAUGCACCCUGCUCCAUUUGUAAUUCAUGUGCGGUGAGCUCACUGGGAUGAGUCAGUUUGGAUAUAUAUUCCUCCCUGGGUCUGCCCCAUUUUAUGGGGUGUUGCUUAAUCAUUUGCGUUAUUCCAUUGACAUGAAAUAUUUAGCACUCAGAGAUCAUUUCUGGUCAGGAGAAAUUUGUGCAUUUUUAACCCAAAAUAGAAACCUUCAUAAAAGCAUCAUAGGUCUCCAUUCAGUAUUGACUAUAAUUGUUCACAUGCCCACGCUGAAUGCUAACUUGGGCUCACCAUCAACACCCACGAGGUGGGUACUAUUAUUAUCACUCACAUUUGACCAGAGGGAUUGUUUGAUUAGGGUGUAGUAGUUGAGAGUUCAGACCCAGGAGACAGCCUGCCUGCUUCAAAUCCUGGCCCAACCCCUGGCCCUGUGUGACCUUGGGCAAGUGACUGCAUCUCUCUGUGCUGUUGUUUUCUUAUUAAUAAAAUGGUUGAUAUAAUGAUACCUAC
rnacentral:lncRNA from 1 species